AUUGAACGCUGGCGGCAUGCUUUACACAUGCAAGUCGAACGGUAACAGGCCGCAAGGUGCUGACGAGUGGCGAACGGGUGAGUAAUGCAUCGGAACGUGCCCAGUCGUGGGGGAUAACUACUCGAAAGAGUAGCUAAUACCGCAUACGAUCUAUGGAUGAAAGCGGGGGACCGUAAGGCCUCGCGCGAUUGGAGCGGCCGAUGUCAGAUUAGGUAGUCGGUGGGGUAAAGGCUCACCAAGCCAACGAUCUGUAGCUGGUCUGAGAGGACGACCAGCCACACUGGGACUGAGACACGGCCCAGACUCCUACGGGAGGCAGCAGUGGGGAAUUUUGGACAAUGGGCGCAAGCCUGAUCCAGCAAUGCCGCGUGCAGGAAGAAGGCCUUCGGGUUGUAAACUGCUUUUGUGCGGAACGAAACGGCUCUGGUUAAUACCCGGGGCUAAUGACGGUACCGUAAGAAUAAGCACCGGCUAACUACGUG
rnacentral:rRNA from 1 species